rnacentral:rRNA from 1 species
CUUUCGAUGGUAGGGUAGUGGCCUACCAUGGUGUUCACGGGUGACGGGGAAUUAGGGUUCGAUUCCGGAGAGGGAGCCUGAGAAAUGGCUACCACAUCCAAGGAAGGCAGCAGGCGCGCAAAUUACCCAAUUCUGACUCAGAGAGGUAGUGACAAAAAAUAUCAUUGUGGAAGCUUUUCAAGUUUCCCACUGGAAUGAGUACAAUUUAAAUCCCUUAACGAGUAACAACUGGAGGGCAAGUCUGGUGCCAGCAGCCGCGGUAAUUCCAGCUCCAGUAGCAUAUAUUAAAGUUGUUGCAGUUAAAAAGCUCGUAGUCGGACCUCGGGGUUCUGAGACUGGCCUGGCAAUGCCAGGACUGGUGUUGGGAUCCUUUUUCUUGGUGAGAUGCACUGCUCUUAGUUGAGUGGGGUAUGGAAGCAAGAUGUUUACUGUGAAAAAAUUAGAGUGUUCAAAGCAGGCUUAGCCAUGAAUACACUAGCAUGGAAUAAUAGAAUAGGACUUUGGUUUUAUUUUGUUGGUUUCUAGG